UGCUGAACAGGUGGAGUGAUCACGGGAAGCCCCCAGGAGGAGAUGUGGCAUCUAUAAUUGAUGCUGGUGUUGUCCGACCGGGGAUGGUGUUCACGGUAAGGUGAGUCACUGACAUUUCAUCAUACGGGCUCUCUCAGAAAUUUGGAAAUCUUUUUUUUUUGUUUUUUUUCAAAGGAACAGUUUUGGAUCAAAAUGAAAUAUCAUUUUUCUGACGACAGAUUGAUUACUAAAUCUGGGAAUUAUUAAUCUAUGAGGCGUCGUGCCAAGUUCCGAUGUGCAGAAGAAAAGUAACUACAGAUUGCUAAAAAGUGGUUUACUUGAGUGCAUUCUGAAAGCUAAAAUCAAUAAUAAUAAAAAAAAUUAAGACGGGACUUGGAACAACAUCCCCAGUGAAUCACCCUGUACAGGGAUAUCUUUUAAUCCAUGAUGACGAUCAUAAUAAGUCGAUGUUCAUCACAAGAUUGAGUUCUAGUAGUUUCAGCGCGUAAUAAGCAAGGUUGAAUGAACGAUGCUGAAAAUGAAAGGCUUUUGUUUAAUUCUAUUUACCACUGAAAGCAAUCGAAAACAAGAUCGUGUAAUUUAAUACUAACUUCUUUAUAACCAAAUUCUUCAAAAUAAAAAGCCUAGCACAAAACUAAGCAGAGAUAAAAUGCAAUAAUGUCAGACUCAACCCUCAAUGCAUUCGGUCGGACCAAGAUUUGGACCAUCGAAAAUGGGAAGGAGAAGGUUCAGUUCGAUGAAUGGCAAUGACUAACGGAUGAAUAAAGGGAAAUCAUUAACUUUUUUUUUGGAGGAAUAUCACCUCGAGAUUUUCCUCCAUGCUUGAAAUUUUCGGCCAGCGCAGCGGCCUGAUUGGGAUGCUGUGCAGGAUUUUCCCUUUUUUUCCUAUCAUGAACGGAGAGUUCCUAUUUUUUCACCAAUAAUUGGGGAAAAACGUCCUCAUCAGCGGAUCUUGGACGCCUAUGGAUGAAUAUAAUAGGUAUAUCGAAAUAAUCAGGUUGAAGAUGAGUAGUGAGAUCAUUUAUGAUCCAAAAAAAUGUACCAGGCAGUGACACGAAUUAGAUAGGUUUCAAUCAUCUUAUCAAAUGGAAAAUUUAGACAAGAUUCAUUUUUGACAUAUGCUUAGUGAAUGAAACCGGGAGAAAAUACAUUGAAACAUGAGCCACCACUGUCAACUCAUGAUACAAAACCUUCAUGCUAUCAUGCAAACAUUCUAGUUUCACAAAUGGCAGAUAUUCUAUACAUCUACCAUCAUAAAAUAUGGCGAAUAUGUGGAAAGAUAACAAUAAGUGAGAGGUAGAUCUACUUAACUAGAAAGAUAGUUUUUUAGUUUUUAUGGCGGAUGAUGAAACCUUUUCUUAUGAUGCAGUUCUGCUGGAGAACUCUAUGAAUUUAACAAGAACACGAAGCCAUCAUGGAAGAAGCACAUUCGGAGUCAAACAUCAAGAAACGCUCAACUGGCACCCACAACAGGAUGUAUUUUGGAUGGUUUGCUAGGCCUGCAUUCGUCCUCUUUAUUUCUUUUGAACAAGGUACUACCAACCUGUUCUGAAUAAACAGGUCCAAGGAGUUCGAAAUGUACUCAGAGUAAUAGUGAUCUUGAUUAGGACACAGAUUGACAUUAUUAAACUUGAAAAUUUCAGAACCGGCAACAUUUAAUAAUGGUGUUGAUCAUUGUAUUACAACUUUUAAAACAUUGAAAACCAUGUCGUACUGAAGAGUAAGCCCAUCUUAUAAUACAGUUUAGAUAUAUAGCAUCUAUAAGGGAGUGAUUUUGAAUCAAUUGAUGACUUCAUUCAUGGUAAGUUGAUGGUUCUAGUUUAUAUAUUCUAUAGGAUGGUUUUCUGGUGGAGAGGCGCUUGCACCAAAGGAAGUGGAAAUGGUUGACACAUGGAGCACCUAAAGGCCAAACUUUGACAGCUAUUACACCAUUUGUGCAGACUGAAAUAGAAGAUAAGAUUUCAUCUUUAUUCUUUUCUACAGCAACUGGACUCAUUUUUGAAUAUCUGCCUCCAAAACAUUCUGGUGAGUGUCAAAUUUUGCUUCAAGAGGAAAAAAUGAUAUAUUUCACAUAGUCUGAUUGAUUUACCACACCUUUUUUUUGCACGUGGCUAAAUGGAAUUUAAAACUUCGAUAAACUGGAAAUGGAAUUUAACUCGACAGGAUUUGACAGGCAUCAGUUCAGAAAAACUUCCAUAAAAUCCAAGUGUUAUGAUGUUUAUUCAUAAGAAUACUUAUGGCUCAAUGUUCGGUUUCGAAGAUCAAAAUUAAUCUUCUUAUGUCCUCUCAUGAUGACUUUCACAAAAAAAUUCACUUUUCCAAAUUGCAAACAUGGAAGUCAGAUUUCUAAAGAUUCUAAGCACACAGCCUUGUGGUGUGUCAAGAUUAGCACAAGCUAUCUCACUUUCGAAACCUACAAUUCAUGCUCAUAUCAGGUGUGCGGAAGAAAUGGUUAGUAAUAUUCACUCUCCAUGAUAAAAUAGAAGGAUCGCUAAAUAUGCAAACUGAUUUCAAACGAGGACCAUACACCACAUCAUGAAUACUAUAAAAUAUAACCAUUUACAGCUCAUUGGAGAUUUUUUGUGCAGAAACUUAAAGUAUCUUCAAGAACCUUCCCCUUGAGAAGGCAUUUUAGAUAACAGAUUCUGUUACCUUGCAGUUAUACUACGAGUAAUCCAUAGUAUAUCAUGUAAUAGACUUGAUGGAUUGUCUGUGCAUAUGAAAAGAGAGAGCGCUUCUACAUUUCUGGCAUGGAAACCCUACCAAAUCAGGAGCUUUAAAGCACGAGGAGCUUAAUCUGCUAAUAAUCUCUUUCAAACUUGCUUGUUAUGUGAUUGAAAGGACCUAUGCCUACUAAAUCAUUUCAACUUAUAUCCGUUUCUAAACGUUUUCUUUUUAUCGUAUUUCCAUUAAAAAAAAUUCUAUGUGAUUGAAGGCGAGGCUUGCUGAUGACAAUUUUUUCUCAGAGGAGUGAAUCGACUCUACUUAUAAAAUCAAAUAAAAAAAAGAUCCCACAUAUAUCUUUUCUACCCUUCUAACAAGGUGUUAAAAUAGUACUUAAAAUGGAUCAACACAAAGAUUCAUCGCCAUUAUGAUAUGAAAAAGAGCUUCACAAAAUUCUACUUGUUUAGACUAUUGGUAAGCUACAUGAUUGCAUUCUCUAUGAUCUAUUGUAAAUGCUCGAAUUAUUGUUGAAAUCAAUAUUGUUCUCUCUUUCCAUAGAGUACACAGCACUUCUAGUAGGCAUACGCUGUGCCCUUUUGUCAGAUCAAUCUCUGUGUAAUCUCCAGCACAAGUUCCCUCACUUCAUGCUCAUGACAAGUUGGCAUUAUCCUGUAAUCUAGUUCAUUCCUUGUGCUUCGGAUUUCAUUGAAAAAAUAUUAAGACGCGAGAUAGUUUUUGGGUAUAACCAAUCCCAUUGAUGAGAUAACCAAUAGUUUUUCUCAUUGCUGCCUCCAUCAAAAUCUUAUAACAACUUUGUGGGAAGUUGACAUGCAGGGGAAACAAACACAGGGACAAUGGAUAAAUCAUAUGCAUCCACAUCAUGCAAAGGUAGCAAGAGGCAUAACUGGCAUACAUCUUCAGUUUGGGAGACUAGUUUUUCCACUGGAUGAUGGUAGACUUGGAGAACUACACAUGCCAAAUUCUGGUGGAGAUCGAUUAGGCCCAAAUUAUCAGACUAAUACAAGAAGGAAAACACCACAAAAGUAUGAAUGGUCAAUCUUAGAAGUCCCUGAAACAGAGGGAUGGAACGCAGAAUAUUGCACUGAGGAACGAGGACCAGCCAAUUGCAUCACAGGUACAAAGAAUGUACUCAAAGACAAUGAAAUCAGUGAUGCAGGAAUUACGACAAUGAAAAGACGAAAGACCGAAGAAUGUACACUUUACAUUCCUCUGGGUGCUCAAGACAAAAGCGCAGUUGAAUCAUCAGAACUGAAAAACUUUCAAAAAAAAAGCAUUAGCACAAGCUUCCGGUUGCGAUCCAUGCAUGCUGAUCAAUCAUUUUUACUCACAACAGAAAGUGGAUUAAUUUUUGAGUAUCUUUACACAGAGAAUAUAUGGAUAUGGCUGAGACAUGAACACUUAACACCAAUAAUGGGAGCGUUGGCAAGUUACAAUGGAAGCUUAUUUCUGGUAGACACACAUGGGAACUUACUCAUGCUUGAAAGGAAUGAAACAGAGCUAUCAUUGAUCAACUGCACCGCGAUGAAAAGAGGAAGGAAAGUGACAGCAGGACCUCCAUGGGAUGGUGCACAUGAAAAACUUUGGAGAAUAAUGGACGAGGAUGCAUUGUUCUUUGUCAGCAAGAAAGGAAGACUUCUUCAGUUCACAGUAAGCUCAAAUACUCAAGUAGGAAAAGUAGUAUAAAACUUUAUCUUCUGCAGAGAAUAUGACUCUUAAAGAUAAUACUUCACUGAUAGAUUUACGACACCCACCAAAGAAAAAAUUCAUAAAUUCAUAAUAUCGUCUAUUGAGGACUCCUAGAAACGAUUCCUGAAACAAGAACUUCGUAAGCCUCUUUAACUGGUUUUUGAUGUUUCUAGUCUGGUAUGAAACUUUCGGUUUGGUAAAUUGCUUACGGUCACUGAGUUUAUUCUUUGAUUACUCCACUCCCCUAAUUAUACAAAGACUCCAUCAGGAAUUUCUUGCUGUGAGAAGAUCAAUAAUGGAAACAAAGUAGGAAGUUCUAAAAAAUUACAUCUUUUACACUGUUGUAGGUUGCCUUCAGAAAAUUCAAUUGGAAAGACUGCCAUCAUCCUCCAAGUACAAAGAUUGAUUUCAUUGUUGAUCAAGAAGUUAUAAGGAUGAAUAUAAUAUUUGUCAUUGGUAGAGAUGGUCGUCUCUAUCAGUACAACCGAGUGACAGAACUAUGGCAUCAACACUGCCAAUCCCCUCACUUGAUACUACAGAAGUCACCUGCAACUGCUAUUCGACAGUCCUCACGAUCAUUAAUUGGCUCUCUGUUCAUGCUCUUGGAAAACGGAGGCCUUGUUGAGUACCACUGGGACUCACAGCAUGGUUGGAUCUGGGUUGAACAUGGGCUACCAGACAGAAAUUUGACAUUUGUUGGGGCCCCGGGCCCAUCUUUGUGGGACAGUCAACUGUUCUUAGUAGGGUCAGAUGGACAAGUCUAUCGCAGGUACAUGGAUCAAGAGACGUGGAAAUGGGCAAGGCAUGGAUUUCCGUACCAAGUAAAUGCAUCUGUUGAAUUUCAGGCAACAAGUACAAGUGAUGAGGAAUAUUUUGCUCACAAUGGAAUGGAUACGCAAAAGGAGGCUAGAGAAGAUAUACAAAGCAUCAACAGCAGUUGUGAUGAUAAGGUAAGAAACAACGUCACAACUACUCGAAGAUCGAACGAUCUCAGCCAAAUGCAGGAAAAAUUGUUGCACCAUGACCAGGUAUGAAAUUGUCUUCUGAAAAUUUACAGGUAGCAGCAGUGAGGCCAAUCCGAUUCUCACAAGAUUCGAUGAUUUUCGAGCUACGGGAUGGAAGGGUAAGUCGCCGCCAAUCCAAUCUAGUGACAUGAAACAAUACCUCAUGAUGAAGAUAGACGUAUUCAGAGAGUUUCGCAUAGCAUCGCUCACAAUGGGGCUCCGUGAUUUCCCAUGUUCUCAGCUGGCGGAGCUACGAAAAUCACACGGAGACACAGAGGACUGGGAGUGGACUCGGAUCAUCGGCACCCCUACUAGUCAGUGCGCGAGUGGUUAUCUGACAGCAGUGGAUUCGUACUAAAGACGAAAAGAGCGAGGCUGACAGCAAGACCGAACUUGCAAGAAGAACACAAGAACCAUAGAGCUACAGAACGAUCUGUCUAGGGUAACAGAAACAGUAGAUUGAGCAAAAAACCAAAUGCUGAUAGAAGGGAGAGGAGCAUAGAAACAGCUCUCCUCUGUAACAUACCUAGUGCAUACCAGGGGGGAAUUCGGAAUGGCAUCGGUGUACGGUCGUCCAUCGGCAUUUCCGAACAGCAAGCGCCCCCUCCCUGCAGCAGUAAGCCGCCCCUGGAUCUGAGCGAUCGUUCCCCGGAACCUGCGGGAACCUUCGCUGCUACGUCUC
rnacentral:lncRNA from 1 species